UACGUAGGGACCAAGCGUUGUCCGGAAUCAUUGGGCGUAAAGCGCGCGUAGGCGGCCCGGUAAGUCCGUUGUAAAAGUCAAAGGCUCAACCUUUGAAUGCCGAUGGAUACUGCCGGGCUAGAGUCCGGAAGAGGCGAGUAGAAUUCCUGGUGUAGCGGUGGAAUGCGCAGAUAUCAGGAGGAAUACCCAUAGCGAAGGCAGCUCGCUGGGACGGUACUGACGCUGAGGCGCGAAAGCUAGGGGAGCGAAUGGG
rnacentral:rRNA from 1 species